UACAGAGGUCUCAAGCGUUGUUCGGAUUCAUUGGGCGUAAAGGGUGCGUAGGUGGCGCCGUAAGUCAGGUGUGAAAUCUCGGGGCUCAACCCCGAAACUGCACUUGAUACUGCGGUGCUUGAGUACUGGAGAGGAGAUCGGAAUUUACGGUGUAGCAGUGAAAUGCGUAGAUAUCGUAAGGAAGACCAGUGGCGAAGGCGAAUCUCUGGACAGUUACUGACACUGAGGCACGAAGGCCAGGGGAGCAAACGGG
rnacentral:rRNA from 1 species